UGGGGAAUAUUGCACAAUGGGGGAACCCUGAUGCAGCCAUGCCGCGUGAAUGAAGAAGGCCUUCGGGUUGUAAAGUUCUUUCGGUGACGAGGAAGGUUGGUAGGUUAAUAGCCUAUCAAAUUGACGUUAAUCACAGAAGAAGCACCGGCUAACUCCGUGCCAGCAGCCGCGGUAAUACGGGGGGUGCGAGCGUUAAUCGGAAUAACUGGGCGUAAAGGGCACGCAGGCGGUGACUUAAGUGAGAUGUGAAAGCCCCGAGCUUAACUUGGGAAUUGCAUUUCAUACUGGGUCGCUAGAGUACUUUAGGGAGGGGUAGAAUUCCACGUGUAGCGGUGAAAUGCGUAGAGAUGUGGAGGAAUACCGAAGGCGAAGGCAGCCCCUUGGGAAUGUACUGACGCUUAUGUGCGAAAGCGUGGGGAGCAAACAGGAUUAGAUACCCUGGUAGUCCACGCUGUAAACGAUGUCGAUUUGGGGAUUGGGCUUUGAGCUUGGUGCCCGUAGCUAACGUGAUAAAUCGACCGCCUGGGGAGUACGGCCGCAAGGUUA
rnacentral:rRNA from 1 species